rnacentral:rRNA from 1 species
AUGCCUAGGAGCAUGUGCUGCAUCCGGCUGUUAAUCAGUAGCCCGCUUUCCUUCUCUCUCCUCCUCUCUCUCCUCCAACUCAUCCAAAAUAUAAUAUUUAAAGGCUUACAGCCCGCCUACAUCAUCCUAUUGUACUUGCUCUCAUGCUACAGAAGCUUCUCCGCCGAGGCCGCUGCAGACCUGCAGUCACCGCCGACGCAUUUGCUACUAGUGUCUCUGCCUCGAGGCUCUCGUUCAUGGUCUAACCGGCGCCCCUGGCCACGCAUGCACCCUCCCUGGCAACGACAACUUCCUCUUGCGCCGCCCGUGCUCUAG